rnacentral:tRNA from 1 species
UCCUGGCAGCUCAGUAAAGAAGCUGCCUGCAAUGCAGGAGACCCAGGUUCAAUCCCUGGGUCAGGAA